CGGCUGGGCUGACCUAGUUACAGCGUGAUUGUUAUUCCCCACAGCGUCGAAUGGAGGAGCUGAGGAAGGGAGGGGGGAGAAAGAAACCGAACAGGCUGAGACACUUUCAAAGAUGAGGGAGGCUCAGUGGAAAAUGUAACAUCCAGAGAGCUGUCGUCAGAAAAUGUGCAGGUUUCAUACUCAGGGAAAACAGCUGGCCAUCUGCAGUGUCUUAGUGUUCUGAAUCAACAUUCAUCUGGAAAGAAAAGGACAGAUGGCACAUAAUGUAAUUUAUCUGUGAGGACAAGGUCACAGGUUCUGAUCCACAUUCCCAUAUCUCAUUUUGGGAGAUAACCUGGGAUAACCAAGGAGGUACCUAAAGUUUUCACUCAUGGUUAGAGUGAAUAGAUUAUCUGGAAUCUAGUAAGUAGUAAAUAAGCGGGGUCUCUUUAAUAACUAAUAACUAAUAUGCAUGUACAAAUUCACAUGUCAAACUUAUAUAUUACAUGAUCUACCGUAGCUCUAUCCUGAACAAAACCCUUAAUAAACCCUUUGAGUGCUGUCUUAUUCAACAAUAUGUUCUUACAUCAUUUUUACCAGUAGUUGGUAUACAUUUAUAGGCUGAUAUAAGCUAUAAGAUACAA